GUUGUGCGAACCUUCCACGGUUUGUGCGACGCAGCUAACGCAUUAAGCACCCCGCCUGGGGAGUACGGUCGCAAGACUAAAACUCAAAGGAAUUGACGGGGGCCCGCACAAGCGCCGGAGCAUGCGGAUUAAUUCGAUGCAACGCGAAGAACCUUACCAAGACUUGACAUAUAGUAGAAAAGCGUAGAAAUACGCUCCCCGCAAGGCUGCUAUACAGGUGGUGCAUGGUUGUCGUCAGCUCGUGUCGUGAGAUGUUGGGUUAAGUCCCGCAACGAGCGCAACCCUCGUCCUAUGUUGCCAGCACGUAAUGGUGGGAACUCAUGGGAGACUGCCGGGGUCAACUCGGAGGAAGGUGGGGAUGACGUCAAAUCAUCAUGCCCCUUAUGUCUUGGGCUUCACGCAUGCUACAAUGGCCGAUACAAAGGGCUGCGAUACCGCAAGGUGGAGCGAAUCCCAUAAAGUCGGUCUCAGUUCGGAUUGGGGUCUGCAACUCGACCCCAUGAAGUCGGAGUCGCUAGUAAUCGUAGAUCAGCAACGCUACGGUGAAUACGUUCCCGGGCCUUGUACACACCGCCCGUCAAGUCACGAAGUCGGUAACACCCGAAGCCGGUGGCCUAACCGUAAGGAAGGAGCCGUCGAAG
rnacentral:rRNA from 1 species